AACGAACGCUAUCGGUAUGCUUAACACAUGCAAGUCGAACGGACUAAUUGGGGCUUGCUCCAAUUAGUUAGUGGCAGACGGGUGAGUAACACGUGGGAAUCUACCCAUUAGUACGGAAUAACUUUUAGAAAUAAAAGCUAAUACCGCAUAUUCUCUACGGAGGAAAGAUUUAUCGCUGAUGGAUGAGCCCGCGUCAGAUUAGGUAGUUGGUGAGGUAAUGGCUUACCAAGCCGACGAUCUGUAGCUGGUCUGAGAGGAUGAUCAGCCACACUGGGACUGAGACACGGCCCAGACUCCUACGGGAGGCAGCAGUGGGGAAUAUUGGACAAUGGGCGAAAGCCUGAUCCAGCAAUACCGAGUGAGUGAUGAAGGCCUUAGGGUUGUAAAGCUCUUUUA
rnacentral:rRNA from 1 species